UGGGGAAUAUUGCACAAUGGGCGAAAGCCUGAUGCAGCGACGCCGCGUGAGGGAUGAAGGCCUUCGGGUUGUAAACCUCUUUCAGCAGGGAAGAAGCGCAAGUGACGGUACCUGCAGAAGAAGCGCCGGCUAACUACGUGCCAGCAGCCGCGGUAAUACGUAGGGCGCAAGCGUUGUCCGGAAUUAUUGGGCGUAAAGAGCUCGUAGGCGGUUUGUCGCGUCUGCUGUGAAAACUUCAGGCUCAACCUGGGGCUUGCAGUGGGUACGGGCAGACUAGAGUGCGGUAGGGGUGACUGGAAUUCCUGGUGUAGCGGUGGAAUGCGCAGAUAUCAGGAGGAACACCGAUGGCGAAGGCAGGUCACUGGGCCGCAACUGACGCUGAGGA
rnacentral:rRNA from 1 species